rnacentral:lncRNA from 1 species
AAGCAUGUUCAUGAUUAAAUCUGUAUGCUGGCUUAUUUGAGUGACUGCUCUCUGAUUGCGGUUUCCUCAGUCCUAGUUCUUCCUCUUCUUCUUCUUCUUCUUUUUUUUUUUCUUUUCUUUUUUCUUCCCUUUCCUUCCUUUCUUUUUGGUUUAGAGAAGCCCUUUCAAUAUUUCCUUUAACCUGGGUUUUGUGUUGCUGUAUUCUUUAAGUUUUUGUUUGUUGGGAAAAAUUUUUAUUUCCCCUUCUAUUUUAAAUGAUAUUCUUGCUGGAUAAAGUAUUCUAGGUUGCAUAUUUUUUCCUUUGAGCACUUUAAAUAUCUCUUGCCAUUCCCUCCUGGCCUGUAGUGUUUCUGUAGAGAAAUCAGCUGAUAUUCUUAUGGGGGUUCCCUUGUAGGUAACAUUCUGUUUUUCUCUUGCUGCCUUUAGGAUCCUCUCUUUAUCACUAACUUUUGCCAUUUUUAUUAUGAUGUGUCUUGGUGUGGGUCUGUUUGGGUUCAGUUUGUUUGGGGCCCUCUGUGCUUCUUGUAUCUUGAAUCCAGUAUCCUUUAGAUUUGGGAAGUUUCCAGCGAUAAUUUCUUCAAAUAUAUUUUCCAUUCCUUUAUCUUUUUCUACUCCUUCUGGAAUUCCUAUUAUGCGUAGAUUGGCCCGUUUUAUAUUAUCCCAUAGGUCUCUUAUAUUGCUUUCCAGUUUUUUGAUUCGGUUUUCUGUCUGUUGACCAGAUUGAGUGAUUUCCAUUAUUCUAUCUUCCAUAUCACUGAUUCGUUCUUCUGCAUUAUUCAUUCUGGUUUUUACUGCCCCUAGUUCAGUUUGCAUCUCUGCAAAUGAAUGUUCUAGUUUUUCUUGGCUCCUCCUUAUAUUUUCUAGCUCCUUUCUGAGGGUAUCUGCAUUGCUGUUCAUAUCUUCUCUUAAUUCCUUCAGUAUUUUCACUAUUUCUCUUUUGAACUCCAGGUCUGUCAGACUGCAGAGAUCAGUUUCAUUGUUGACUGUUUUAGGUGAGUUCUCCUGUUGGUUUGACUGGGGGUGGUUUCUCAGCUUCUUCAUCUUGCUUGUUGUCUUCUUUCUCCUGAGGGAGUUGUACUCUCCGUUAUCGGGUAGUGUUUGCCUUGUCACUGCCCUGGAAUAUUUCCUGAGGGCUGUCGUUGUUGGUCAAUCUUUUUUUGAGGCAGUGUGGCUUUUCUGGAGUGUUGAUGGGACUAACAGUGUUUCUUUGAAGCAAAGGAGGACUUCCUGAGGGCAGACAGGACUGGGAGGUCCACCCCACGAUGGUAGCAGAUUUCACUUGCCCGACUCAGACUUGCAGGGGGUUGGCGGUGUUGGGCAGCUGCUCUUCAGGGGUGCAUCACCCCCUGGGGGCUGGAGCAGCUAUCUGGGUCACUGAGAACCUAAGAGGCUCUCUCCUUGGGCAGCCCAACUCAGAAGGAGGGCCUGAGAAUGUAGGCGGAUCUUUUCACAGUCUGGCUUGUUGCAGCUUUUCUGGGCUGCAGGGGGUCCUGCCUGGAGCUGGCAGUCCUAUGCAGCUGGUCCACUAGGUCUCAGCACCCCCUUGGGCUUGGGCGUGUAUCAGGGCAGUUGGAAACCUAAGAGGCUCCUCCCCGGGGCAACCCGACUCAGAAAAACCAUCCGAGAAUUAGGCCGAUCUAUUCACAGCCUGGCUAGGCUUGUUCUAGCUUUUCUGGGCUGCAGGCCUUUUCUCGGGGGCUGGUGGUGUUUGGUGCUGCUCUGCGGAAGUGUAGCCCCUCCAAAGGGCAAGCAGGCCUGUGCAGGGACAGCCCCUGCGGUGGUAGGCUUCAGGCAAUUGUUGAGGCCAGCCCUCCCAGAUGGCAGGCAGCCCCAGGUUCGGCGAGAGCGUAGCGGGUGGCGUGGGUGGGGGGAGGGAAUGCACUGGGAAGCACAGCUUUCUGCUAGCUAGCGGACCUGUAAGCUUGCUGUGGCAUGGGGGGUAUUCUAGGGGGACCUACCCCUUCUUCUCUCCCCUCCCCAGUACGGGCACAGACCAGGCUCUUCUCCCAGGUUCCCUCUGAGGCGGCUUUCCACUUCCCCGCCCCUAGAGUGUUGUUCCCUUCCUCUGUGACAGCUUUGUUUUCUAGUCUCCCAGGCAGUCUCUGCCCCGUCAAAUGGUUUCUAGACCUCCCAAGCAGUUUCCGCUCCACCCCGCCCCCCAGCCUGGGGACUAACCUCCUGGGCCGAGGUCUCGGUGCCCAGCCCCCACCCAGGCGUCUCAAUUUUUGGUGACUGUGCCCAUAGUUCAGAUGGUCCGUUCGGUUCUUGAUCGGCUUUUCCGUAGUCCAAAUUACUGCUACACUCUUCUCUGCAUCUGGAGAUUUCUCCGGUUUGUUUGAUCUUUCCCCCGGUAGGUGACUUUCCAUGGUGCAGGAACUCUUUCUCCUCUGCAGUUCCCUUUCGGGAGUGCCCGUCCCGCUUGGAUUCACCUUCUCUCACUCUCCUCUUUUCUCCCGUUCUGCCCAGUAAUGUCACGAACUUCUUGCCGUUAUUGGAGUUUAGGUUCCUCUGCCAGUGAUUGGUUGCUGUUCUGUGCGAGUCAUUUAUUCUGUA